GCCCGACCCACCUGCGACCCAGCAGCCGACGAGCGCAAACCUGGUGAACGCACCUGAGGCGCGCCCGGCCCGUGCCAGUGAGAGUUUUCUCCCGGAUGACAACUGAAGAAAACUAUCCAGGAGGCAGAAAAACUCAUCUAUGGCUAGGAGAUGAGGCAUACAAAAUAAAAAGCCAGGUAAGCAGAUGAACACUGGAGUGUUGGAAAAGAACACGCUCCCUCCUCAGAAACUUCCCCCAGCUGCCCUGCGCCUGCCAGGUCUGGGACCGCCCUGCUCACGCUGACCUCCACCCGCAGUGUUCUCCUUGCCCUCUGCGUCUGGAGCUCAGGACCCCAAAACAGCACCAAGGCUUCAAGACUGAGCUCAAACACCAUCUCUUCUGUUGUUCUUCAAGCCUUCUUUCACUCCUCUUCUCCUCUAAAGAGUGUCUUCUCUCAAUGCUGCAGUACUCCAAGAACAGGUUAAAGCCCUUGACUAUGUGACCUUCUCCAGUUUGAACUGCACUGCAUAUGGGGUCCCCCCUGAGGCUGUGGCAGUGCCACCUGUCCUCCUGCUGGCUCUGUGCACCCCUGGUGUUUUCACCGAGUACGUGAAGCCCUCAGAGCCUCAACGCUGUUCCCAAGCCGUGGAGGCUGAACUCUGCCAAGAGAACAGGAUGAGAAACUCUGCUCUUGCCCUCUGUUUAUUUUUUCAGACAUGUUCCUUAGAGUAGAAGGUUGACAAGGAAGUUUCUUUUACUCCCUUCCUCUAGACUGAAGGAAAAGAAAAAAACCAGGAAACCAACUCCAGAACACAAUGAAGAUGAAUAUCAAAUAUUUGUUCCUUUCCAUACAAGAGAAGUUAGGCACAAUGUUAGGUCAUCAUGGUAGCACUUGCAAGAAUCAAAGUUGCUUUGAGCCCUAAGGAUUUCCAGUAUAUCAGUUUGGCUGUUUCUUAUGGAAAUAAAGUAUUUUUUUAACUAUCUUUUGACCAAGAUAAUUAGAUAUUAUUCCAAACACCUGCAGUUGUCAUCCAGAGGCUGCUUGUGACAGUUGUGACUCAGAAACCUGGCUUGAUGCUGCUGACAAGUAAGCCCCUCCCUUGCAGCUUUGGACACCAAGACUUUGGACAGCCGAGAGGGGAGAUGCCAUUUACUAAGCACCUUCUGUGUAUCACAAUCAUGUUUUAUACGACCAGCAUUGCAACACCUCAAGUUAAACAUUAUCUCCAUUCUGUAGACAAGGAAAUAAGUCUGGAGAUGUUGAACAUUUGCCCCAAAGUACACAGCUAGAAAAGCAGAAAGCUGAGAUUCAAAAUCCCAUGUCUGAGUUUUUCAUAUUAGAGCAGCUUAUAUAUCUGGCUUAUUUCACUUAAAGCAUAAAAAGAUAGAUAAGUAGGAAGUAGGGAAAUCUUUUUUAAAUGGUUGGAGGAACAACCUCCUUAGGAGAGGGAAAGGAGAUGGGAAAAAAGUUGAAAAAAUAAAAAAUGAAAGUACAGCUUUUAAAUUGGCCAUGGGGGCCGGGGAUUUAGCUCAGUGGUUCUGUCACCUGCCUUGCAAGCACAAGGAUCCGUGUUUGAUCCCCAGUACCAAAGAAACAAAAAUAAACAAAAAAUAAA